CCUACGGGCGGCUGCAGUGGGGAAUAUUGGACAAUGGGCGAAAGCCUGAUCCAGCCAUGCCGCGUGUGUGAAGAAGGCCUUCGGGUUGUAAAGCACUUUCAGUGGGGAAGAAAGCCUUGGGGCUAAUACCCUCGAGGAAGGACAUCACCCACAGAAGAAGCACCGGCUAACUCCGUGCCAGCAGCCGCGGUAAUACGGAGGGGUGCGAGCGUUAAUCGGAAUUACUGGGCGUAAAGCGCGCGUAGGCGGUCUGAUAAGCCGGUUGUGAAAGCCCCGGGCUCAACCUGGGAACGGCAUCCGGAACUGUCAGGCUAGAGUGCAGGAGAGGAAGGUAGAAUUCCCGGUGUAGCGGUGAAAUGCGUAGAGAUCGGGAGGAAUACCAGUGGCGAAGGCGGCCUUCUGGACUGACACUGACGCUGAGGUGCGAAAGCGUGGGUAGCAAACAGGAUUAGAUACCCGAGUGUC
rnacentral:rRNA from 1 species